AUGAUAAACAAACUUGUGGAUUUAGGAACUGCCCAUCUAUUCAUGCGGAUGCAGGAGAAAAACAGGGGAAAGUGCGGGAACCUUUUGAAAACAGCAACCAAGAGAAUUGUCCAUUUGCGGUUUAAGCUGCAACUUUUGUUCCAGCCACACAGAGACUACCACAGCUCUGGUGUCAGGAGUCAACAACAGGCGCAGUUAGACGAGGUCAUGCUGUCAGAACAUCUGGGGAACUUGAACAGCUUUGGAUCGGUUGCAGAGUCAGCAAGACAACAUUUGGUUGUGUCUGCCAAUCGUCUCCUGCGGUUUGAGGAUGAAACAGAAAAAGAGGUGGAGACUCGUUAUUUGGAACGUUGGAGCCAAAGGAGACAGGAAAUGCAGCGGAGAGCAGGAGUCCUGGUGUCCAAACCCGACUUAGAGAGUUUGAAAGCAGGACUGGAGCUCAGACAGGGGAAGUCUCCUGCUGUCGGGAGGCUGAGAGGACAAACAGUGAUGAGAGAAUUGGGUAAGAUUAACCCUGGUGUGAGAGUGUCAGGGGGAGGAGUCAUACUAGACCUGAGCCUUAAUGAAGACCCUCCUAUGAUUGAAGAGAGACAGAAGAGCCUAAACAGGAAGCAACUGAGGCUGCGGACAGAGCCGCUCAGAGAGACCUACAUCGGCUGUGUCACGCCUUCUGACACAGGGAGACAAGGAGAAAAGACUUGUCGGGAAUCGUGUGCCCAAGUGAGACAAAGGACCACUCACAGUGAAAUGUUUGGAUCUCCGCAGACCGCCUCACAACCUCUUCUACUCAUAGAUCCACCAACAGGUUCUGAAUCCUCCUGCAGUGAUGCUCCACACGUUCAUGUUUCAUGCUCUCCCUCAUUCAGACGACCUUUGUCUUUAUCCAGUCCUUCUAAAACAUCAGUGAUGCCACAGAGGAACGCGUCCAAUUCAAGGAAGCAGGGAAAGGACUUGAACCAGAAUCAAGACAGACAAAGGACACCUUCCUGUCAAAGGGUCCACAGACAUCUUGGAACCGGGCCAGAGCUCAUGGAGAAGGUCCCUUUUCUGGAGAAGAAAAGCCGUGAACCGAACCCUGCUGCCAGACCCUCCUCAUCAGGAACGAGUUUGGAGAUGAAAGCAGGUAAUCAAACUCCUCCUGCUCUGGCCAUCAGGGACGGAUCCUCCACGAAAUCACUGAGAUCCGAGUUUCCCACAGAGGAGGACUCACAUUCUGAGCGCAGACAGAGCAGGAGUCGAACCCGCAGUCUGGAUCGGCUUCCUUCAAAGACCCAACCUCCCGUCAGCGGUCCAACCCAUUUAGGAGACCUGAGGUCCUGCGGCUUUCUGAAGACCCCCCCCUCUGUUCGGUGGUUCUGUGAGGGCUCAAACAUCUUCCCAAUGACCAAGUUCUCCUCUGUUUUCAAUGUUUGGUCAGAACAGAACUGCUCCACUGACGGCAGAUCAGCUGAUGACCACUGAGCACUUCCUGUUAACCCUUUAACAGAGCAGUUCCGGUCUUUAUGUUCUUUGAUAUACUGUAGAUUGUGAAUGAGAAAAGCGGCUAAUGCCGGAGUCAUAAAUAAACGUUGUGAAAUGUUCGUAUUAAUUCGAUUUUGACUUUGUGAAAUCUGAGACGUCAUAUCCGGCGUUUAAAAUCCAGGGCACUAGAUAGUUCUGCACUAUAUAGUUUUUUAGUAGUUAGAGGGGAAUUCAGACACAACCAUAGAGAUUGAAGUUGUUUCUUACUCUGUUUACAUUCCCAUAAUGCUGCUUUGAUCCAGUUGUUCUGAUCCGAGCAUGGAGUCUAUUCAGACUGAGGAAACUCGGAGUGAACCUGAGCUCAGUCCGAUUGGAAACGAAUCGAAACUACCUCAAACGAUGGGUCCGAGAGCGGCUCCUGGUCCCGCAUCAGGGUCCGCUUGGGUGUAAUCAUGCUGAAAACAAACUGAUUCACUUUAAGCAAACCAAAUGUGACAUCCUAAAUGUUGAUAAAAUACAUAAAAAACCUUUAAAAUAUUGAAAUCGUGUAACACAAGAUAGAUAGAGGAUUUUGUCUGCAGAACAAAGCCAGAGAAGUGAAGAACGCCACCGUGAGUCUAGAACAGAACAUAAACAUUCUGAAAUUGUAUUUCUAUACCGGGCAAUCCUCUGCCGAGGUUUGGGUUUGACGGUGGCAUAAAGGAUUGAUGCUUGUCAGAUUGCAAGUGUGAAGUUCAGUGAUGGGAAAACUGACUGACUGGAAGAAGAAUCCUGUCAGUCAUCUACUGACCCAGAAGCUGCAGGAUGAGCACACCAAAACUCUUCAAAACAUGAGAUCUUGCAAGUCUGUUCCAGAACUGAACGAGCAGCACAUUUAUCUGUAUCUCAUUAGUGUUUGUUUUUAAUCUGUACAUAUUCAUAAAUGGGUUUAUUUUUGUGUUUUUGGGGAUUUUAUGCUCACAGAAACACCUAACAGUCCCAC
ensembl:lncRNA